GUGCCAGCCGCCGCGGUAAUACCGGCAGCCCGAGUGAUGGCCGAUAUUAUUGGGCCUAAAGCGUCCGUAGCUGGCCGAACAAGUCCAUCGGGAAAUCCACCCGCCCAACGGGUGGCCGUCCGGUGGAAACUACACGGCUUGGGACCGGAAGGCGCGACGGGUACGUCCAGGGUAGGAGUGAAAUCCCGUAAUCCUGGACGGACCGCCGAUGGCGAAAGCACUUCGAGAAAACGGAUCCGACAGUGAGGGACGAAAGCCAGGGUCUCCAACCGGAUUAGAUACCCGAGUAGUCC
rnacentral:rRNA from 1 species